AUUGAACGCUGGCGGCAUGCCUUACACAUGCAAGUCGAACGGCAGCACGGGAGCAAUCCUGGUGGCGAGUGGCGAACGGGUGAGUAAAGUAUCGGAACGUGCCCAGUCGUGGGGGAUAACGUAGCGAAAGUUACGCUAAUACCGCAUACGAUCUAUGGAUGAAAGCGGGGGAUCGCAAGACCUCGCGCGAUUGGAGCGGCCGAUAUCAGAUUAGGUAGUUGGUGGGGUAAAGGCUCACCAAGCCGACGAUCUGUAGCAGGUCUGAGAGGACGAGCAGCCACACUGGGACUGAGACACGGCCCAGACUCCUACGGGAGGAAGCAGUGGGAAAUUUUGGACAAUGGGCGAAAGCCUGAUCCAGCCAUGCCGCGUGCAGGAUGAAGGCCUUCGGGUUGUAAACUGCUUUUGUACGGAACGAAAAGGUUUGGGCUAAUAAGCUGAGCUCAUGACGGUACCGUAAGAAUAAGCACCGGCUAACUACGUGCCAGCCGCCGCAGUAA
rnacentral:rRNA from 1 species